rnacentral:rRNA from 1 species
AUAUCAGUCAUGCAUAGCAUAUCAAUAAGCGGAGGAAAAGAAACUAACAAGGAUUCCCUUAGUAACGGCGAGUGAAGCGGGAAGAGCUCAAAUUUGAAAUCUUCAAGGUUUUACCUUGACGAAUUGUAGUUUAAAGAAGUGUUUUCUGUUGAAGUUUUGGUAAAAGUUCUUUGGAAUAGGACAUCAUAGAGGGUGAGAAUCCCGUAUUUGACCAUUACUUUCAGCUUUGUGAUACACUUUCAAAGAGUCGGAUUGUUUGGGAAUGCAGUCCAAAAUGGGUGGUAAAUUUCAUCUAAAGCUAAAUAUUGGCGAGAGACCGAUAGCGAACAAGUACCGUGAGGGAAAGAUGAAAAGAACUUUGAAAAGAGAGUUAAACAGUACGUGAAAUUGUCAAAAGGGAAGCGUUUGACACCAGUGUUGUUUUCUCGAAAAUCAAUUAAAAAGAGUUGGAUUUUGUGUUGUAUUGACUUUAUCAGGCUUUCUUCACUCUUUUCCAGCUUUUUUUAAUGCACUUUUCGUUUAACAAGUCAACAUCAGUUUCUUUUGUUGUAAAAAGGUCAUUGGAAGGUGGCUUUCUCUUCGGAGAAAGUGUUUAUAGCCUUUGACUCAUGCAAUCGGAGAGACUGAGGUCUGCAGCGUAGAUCCUUCGGGGUUAGAUACAUUUGUGCUAAGUUAUAGCUUUUCAUAGACAACUUGUUGACUAUGUUUAGUCUUGUAGCUUACUCGCUUAUGCUAUUUUACCUACGCUUAGGAUGUUGAACUCUAUCACACACA